rnacentral:lncRNA from 1 species
AAAUCAAAGAAUUACAACUUAAAAAAAUAGGUAUACAAAGUCAUAAGGUUUAGAAAUACAUUUCCAUAUUUUAAUCAGACAACAAUAUUGUUUUAGAAGGAAAACAUUGAUUAUGCUGAAAUAGUUUACUGGAGAGCUUGAACAAGAGGUAAAUCCAUUUUAAAUUAGAGGAAAACUGUUGAUUUGUAUGUAAAAUAGAAGACAAAGACAAGUUUAAAUAAAGACAAACUAGCUAAUGAAACAGAUGCAGUGAUAUGACAAACACCUAGAAGAUGGAAUCCUGUGUUCUCAAAGAAAAAGCUAGUUCCAGAAAUAAGCUACCAAUAAUAAACUAGAGAAUGUAUUACAAGAAAGAACAACGCUAAUACCCAACAUAGCUCAAUUGCUUCAGAUAGAAAAAGAGGAGGAAAGGGUAGAACACAAGCGUGCCAGAGAAAAUUAAAGGGCAGAAGAGACACAAAAAUUCAUUGAUUUAUUAAAUUUAAUAAUUAAAUUAUACAAAGGACAAUUAAAUAAAGAAUAAAAAAUUA